CCACUGAAUUGUGAACUUAAAAAUAGUUACAAUUGUAAAUAUUAUGUUCAUUUAAAAAAAUAAGGUGGAAUGUAAUCACCAUACAUUAUAUGUGUGUAUGAAAUUGAAGACAGCGAUGUUCUAAAAUAGAAAGAGGUGAUGGUGUCAUGGGGCUAUGAGGAUGCUGGACUAAAGUCUAUCGAACUGUGCAAACAGGCAAAUUGUAUACUAUAUGAAUUAUUUGUCAAUAAAGAUUUUAUAAA